rnacentral:misc_RNA from 1 species
GAUGAAGAACGUAGCGAAAUGCGAUAAGUAAUGUGAAUUGCAGAAUUCAGUGAAUCAUCGAAUCUUUGAACGCACAUUGCGCCCGUCAGUAUUCUGGCGGGCAUGCCUGUUCGAGCGUCAUUACGCCCCUCAAGUCCCCUGUGGACUUGGUGUUGGGGAUCGGCGAGGCUGGUUUUCCAGCACAGCCGUCCCUUAAAUUAAUUGGCGGUCUCGCCGUGGCCCUCCUCUGCGCAGUAGUAAAACACUCGCAACAUGAGCCCGGCGCGGUCCACUGCCGUAAAACCCCCCAACUUUUUAUAGUUGACCUCGAAUCAGGUAGGACUACCCGCUGAACUUAAGCAUAUCAAUAAGCGGAGGA